GCGAGUGAAGAGGGAAGAGCUCAAAUUUGAAAGCUGGUACCUUCGGUAUCCGCGUUGUAACCUCGAGACACGUUUUCCGUGCGGCGCUAUGGACAAGUUCCUUGGAACAGGACAUCGUAGAGGGUGAAAAUCCCGUACUUGCCAUGGAUGUACCGUGCUUUGCGAUACGUGCUCUAAGAGUCGAGUUGUUUGGGAUUGCAGCUCAAAAUGGGUGGUAGACUCCAUCUAAAGCUAAAUAUCGGGGAGAGACCGAUAGCGAACAAGUACCGUGAGGGAAAGAUGAAAAGCACUUUGGAAAGAGAGUUAAAAGUACGUGAAAUUGUCGAAAGGGAAGCGCUUGAAGUCAGCCAUGCCGCUCAGGACUCAGCCUGGCUUUUGCUUGGUGUAUUUCCUGGGUAGCAAGUCAGCAUUGGUUUGGAUCGUCGGAGAAGCAUAGUCGGAAUGUGGCGCCCUCGGGCGUGUUAUAGCCUUCUAUUGGAUACGACGAUCUAGACCAAGGAACGCAGCGCGCCUUAUGGCGGGUCUUCGGACACCUUCGC
rnacentral:rRNA from 1 species